rnacentral:rRNA from 1 species
UACGUAGGGUGCAAGCGUUGUCCGGAAUUAUUGGGCGUAAAGAGCGUGUAGGCGGCCCGAUUAGUCCGCUGUGAAAGUCCAGGGCUCAACCCUGGAAUGCCGGUGGAUACUGUCGGGCUAGAGUCCGGAAGGGGCGAGUGGAAUUCCUGGUGUAGCGGUGAAAUGCGCAGAUAUCGGGAGGAACACCAAUGGCGAAGGCAGCUCGCUGGGACGGUAUUGACGCUGAGACGCGAAAAGCGUGGGGAGCAAACAGG